rnacentral:lncRNA from 10 species
GCCAAAUGCCAAAAGUUCUAAAGUGAAAUUUAGGGCAACAGAAGAAAUUGGAAAAGACAUUUGGAAAUACAAAGAGAUUUUCGAGGAUCCUGAAAUCAGGGCACAGGUGCAGCUGCCAGCCCUGCCUCCUGUUCAUGCUGGCUCUUGAGUGUCCCUGAUGGAAGAUGUUUAAGGCCAGUGCUAUGAAGAAAUUAAUAAGUUCAAAUACAGUAUCUGAGGGGGAUUGGUUCCAGAACCUCCUGCAGAUACCCAAAUCCAGAAUAGUGCAGAAAGGUGUAUACUAAACAACAUUUGGAAGAAGAAAAACCUGGCAUCAUUCUGAGAAAGUAUUUUCUCUAACUCUGAGCAUGCAGUUAAUUCUAUGGAUAAACUGAAAGGAACAGGAUGGAUAUUGGACAGCUUCCCUGCUUUUCUAGAAUCAAAUGCAAAACUAUUGUUUUAAUUCAAAUCAAUUAUCAAACUGUGCCACAUUAUUCUUCUUAUUUUUAAUCCAACGUUUAAGGAGAACCUUCUGUGAGCAAGAUCAUUCUCUGGGCAUAAGGUAUAUUCAAAGAUAACUAAGAUAGUCUCUCUCUCUCUCUCAGAGAGCUCGUAAUGUGUACAGGAAAUAAAUUACAUUUGUUGGCAAAAACCUAUAGCAUCCCAUGGAAUAAAAUGUGACACAGGCAAAUUGCAAAACUCACAGAGUUCCUGGUAGAAAGACAAGUGUUAAUGUUAAAGCUAAGAGUAUGAGCUCUAGAUUGAAAAUGGCUGCGUUCAAAUACUAACUCGGCCAACAUGUUGUUUGACUUUGGGGAAACUAUUUAACUUCUCUUGCUUUAAUUUCCUUACCUGUAAAAUUUGGGAAUAACAGUUUUACCUCAAUGGACUGGUGUGAGGAUUAAAGGAGAUGGUAAACGUAAA